rnacentral:rRNA from 1 species
GUCUACAGCUGUACCACCCUGAAUGCACCAAAUCUCCUCUUAGUCUCAGAAGCUAAGCAGGGUCAAGCCUGGUUAGUACUUGGAUGGGAGACAAAUCUUCAGAAAAGACUGCUCAGAGACAAGCAGUUUGGAGACA